rnacentral:rRNA from 1 species
GACGAACCGUGCGAACGUUAUUCGGAAUCACUGGGCUUAAAGCGCGUGUAGGCGGGUGGGAACGUCGGCCGCUGAAAUCCCCCGGCUCAACCGGGGAAGGGGCGCCGAAACGGCCCGCCUGGAGGGACGUAGGGGGGGCUGGAACUUCCGGUGGAGCGGUGAAAUGCGUUGAGAUCGGAAGGAACGCCCGUGGCGAAAGCGAGCCCCUGGACGUCUACUGACGCUGAGACGCGAAAGCCAGGGGAGCGAACGGG